GAUGAACGCUGGCGGCGUGCCUAAUACAUGCAAGUCGAGCGAACAGACGAGGAGCUUGCUCCUCUGACGUUAGCGGCGGACGGGUGAGUAACACGUGGAUAACCUACCUAUAAGACUGGGAUAACUUCGGGAAACCGGAGCUAAUACCGGAUAAUAUAUUGAACCGCAUGGUUCAAUAGUGAAAGACGGUUUUGCUGUCACUAAUAGAUGGAUCCGCGCCGCAUUAGCUAGUUGGUAAGGUAACGGCUUACCAAGGGAACGAUGCGUAGCCGACCUGAGAGGGUGGUCGGCCACACUGGAACUGAGACACGGUCCAGACUACUACGGGAGGCAGCAGUAGGGAAUCGUCCGCAAUGGGCGAAAGCCUGACGGAGCAACGCCGCGUGAGUGAUGAAGGUCUUCGGAUCGUAAAACUCUGUUAUUAGGGAAGAACAAAUGUGUAAGUAACUAUGCACGUCUUGACGGUACCUAAUCAGAAAGCCACGGCUAACUACGUG
rnacentral:rRNA from 1 species